ACUUGUCAAAGUGGAAACUUCUGAAAUCAGUGGUGGAGCGCAGGUGUUGUGUAGAGGGACGCUCGUCCGUCUGACAGUGGGUUUUGAACAAAAAAAAAUUUUCUGGAAAAUCUCCCACUCUCUACGCGCACCUUCUUCUCUUCCAAACUCAGACUUUUCUUCUUCUCCUCCAUCUCUCUAGAACCUCCCAAACUUCUCUCUACUGUAACUCACCAAGCUCUUCUCUGAAUUCCAUUUCAGAACCGUAGGAACGUUCGUCCAGCAGUGAUCUUCCUUUUGGACCGAACAGAAUUGGAAUCUAAGCUGAUCAAGUGAAAGUGUCUAGUGAAACUGAGGGUAGAACGCUCUAAGAGACAAACCCAACUUUUGCAUUAGGGCGUACACUGCUAUCCAGACGGAGAGGCGUUACUGGAAGAAACACUGGAAGAAGAAAAUUUGGAGGACGCCAAUCUCGUAGAAGUAGAAGUGAAGGCCGAACAGUAAGGGCGUUCGGUUUUUAGAUAUAGUGGUUAGAAUAGUGAGCGGCUGUGAACGAGCGCUCUUUUUGAUUGUGUAAAUAUUAGGACGUUCGGUAGUAGUUUUUGUAAACCGUUCGUCCUCUUUUAUUUUGUGAA